GCACUACUGAGGAGUGUCAUACUAGGACGAAACGGCCGUCCAGUGU
rfam:Schistosoma margrebowiei strain Zambia genome assembly, scaffold: SMRZ_contig0002862